GCCGCGUGAAGGAUGACGGCCCUAUGGGUUGUAAACUUCUUUUGUACGGGAAAAAACCCCUGGUCGCGUAUCAGGGCUGAUGGUACCGUAAGAAUAAGCAUCGGCUAACUCCGUGCCAGCAGCCGCGGUAAUACGGAGGAUGCAAGCGUUAUCCGGAUUUAUUGGGUUUAAAGGGUGCGUAGGCGGGAUGAUAAGUCAGUGGUGAAAUCCUACAGCUCAACUGUAGAACUGCCAUUGAUACUGUCAACCUUGAGUACAUUUGAAGUGGGCGGAAUGUGUGGUGUAGCGGUGAAAUGCUUAGAUAUCACACAGAACACCGAUAGCGAAGGCAGCUCACUAAACUGUAACUGACGCUGAGGCACGAAAGCGUGGGGAGCAAACAGGAUUAGAUACCCUGGUAGUCCACGCCGUAAACUAUGAUCACUCGAUGUGUGCGAUACACUGUACGCGUCUGAGCGAAAGCAUUAAGUGAUCCACCUGGGGAGUACGAUCGCAAGAUUGAAACUCAAGG
rnacentral:rRNA from 2 species